rnacentral:rRNA from 1 species
UACAGAGGUCUCGAGCGUUAGGCGGAAUCACUGGGCUUAAAGCGUGUGUAGGUGGAUCGUUAAGUACCUUGUGAAAUCCCACGGCUUAACCGUGGAACUGCUUGGUAUACUGGCGGUCUUGAGCCAGCUAGGGGCUACCGGAACAAAUGGUGGAGCGGUGAAAUGCGUAGAUAUCAUUUGGAACGCCAAUGGUGAAAACAGGUAGCUGGGGCUGUGCUGACGCUGAGACGCGAAAGCGUGGGGAGCAAACAGG